UUUGUCGUUUUCUCUUUUAUA
rnacentral:piRNA from 1 species